GCGCGAAACCUCCGCAAUGCGAGCAAUCGCGACGGGGGGACCCAAGGGGUACUCUUAAAGGGGUAGCUUUUCUAAAGGGGAAAAAGCGUCAGGAAUAAGGGCUGGGGAAGACCGGUGCCAGCCGCCGCGGUAACACCGGCAGCUCAAGUGGGGGCCGCUUUUAUUGGGCCUAAAGCGUUCGUAGCCGGCCUGAUAAGUCUCUGGUGAAAUCCCGCAGCUUAACUGUGGGAAUUGCUGGAGAUACUAUCAGGCUUGAGGCCGGGAGAGGCUGGAGGAACUCCCAGGGUAGGGGUGAAAUCCUAUAAUCCUGGGAGGACCACCUGUGGCGAAGGCGUCCAGCUGGAACGGACCUGACGGUGAGUAACGAAAGCCAGGGGCGCGAACCGG
rnacentral:rRNA from 2 species